UUAAGUGAAUAAGGGCGCACGGUGGAUGCCUUGGCACUAGGAGCCGAUGAAGGACGGGACUAACACCGAUAUGCUUUGGGGAGCUGUACGUAAGCUAUGAUCCAGAGAUUUCCGAAUGGGGGAACCCAACAUCUUUAAUAGGAUGUUACGAUUGUGUGAAUACAUAGCACAUUCGAGGUAGACGCAGAGAACUGAAACAUCUAAGUACCUGCAGGAAGAGAAAGAAAAUUCGAUUCCCUGAGUAGCGGCGAGCGAAACGGGAAAAGCCCAAACCAGCAAGCUUGCUUGUUGGGGUUGUAGGACUCCAAUAUGGUAGUUCUUUCAGAUAGUCGAAUGACUUGGAAAAGUCAGUCAAAGAGGGUAAAAACCCCGUAGACGAAAUGUGGAAGACACCUAGGAGGAUCCUGAGUACGGCGGAACACGAGAAAUUCCGUCGGAAUCCGGGAGGACCAUCUCCCAAGGCUAAAUACUCCCUAGUGACCGAUAGUGAACCAGUACCGUGAGGGAAAGGUGAAAAGCACCCCGGAAGGGGAGUGAAAUAGAACCUGAAACCGUGUGCCUACAACAAGUCAAAGCCCGUUAAUGGGUGAUGGCGUGCCUUUUGUAGAAUGAACCGGCGAGUUACGAUUGCAUGCGAGGUUAAGUUGAAGAGACGGAGCCGCAGCGAAAGCGAGUCUGAAUAGGGCGUUUGAGUAUGUAGUCGUAGACCCGAAACCAUGUGAUCUACCCAUGUCCAGGUUGAAGGUGCGGUAAAACGCACUGGAGGACCGAACCCACGUACGUUGAAAAGUGCGGGGAUGAGGUGUGGGUAGCGGAGAAAUUCCAAACGAACUUGGAGAUAGCUGGUUCUCUCCGAAAUAGCUUUAGGGCUAGCCUCGGAAUUGAGAAUGAUGGAGGUAGAGCACUGUUUGGACUAGGGGCCCAUCUCGGGUUACCGAAUUCAGAUAAACUCCGAAUGCCAUUCAUUCAUAUCCGGGAGUCAGACUGUGAGUGAUAAGAUCCAUAGUCGAAAGGGAAACAGCCCAGACCACCAGUUAAGGUCCCAAAAUAUAUGUUAAGUGGAAAAGGAUGUGGGGUUGCACAGACAACUAGGAUGUUGGCUUAGAAGCAGCCACCAUUUAAAGAGUGCGUAAUAGCUCACUAGUCGAGUGACCCUGCGCCGAAAAUGUACCGGGGCUAAACAUAUUACCGAAGCUGUGGAGUACACCUUUAGGUGUAUUGGUAGGAGAGCGUUCUAAGGGCGUUGAAGGCAGAUCGUGAGGACUGCUGGAGCGCUUAGAAGUGAGAAUGCCGGUAUGAGUAGCGAAAGACAGGUGAGAAUCCUGUCCACCGAAUGACUAAGGUUUCCUGGGGAAGGCUCGUCCGCCCAGGGUUAGUCGGGACCUAAGCCGAGGCCGACAGGCGUAGGCGAUGGAUAACAGGUUGAUAUUCCUGUACCCGUUGUUUUUGUUUGAGCAAUGGAGGGACGCAGGAGGCUAAGGAAUGCAGACGAUCGGAAAUGUCUGUCCAAGCAGUAAGUCUGAAGAGGAGUCAAAUGCUUCUUUUCUUAAGGACAAGCUGUGAUGGGGAGGGAAAUAAUAGUACCGAAGUUCCUGAUGUCACACUGCCGAGAAAAGCUUCUAGUGAGAAAACAGCGGCCCGUACCGCAAACCGACACAGGUAGUCGAGGAGAGAAUCCUAAGGUGAGCGAGAGAACUCUCGUUAAGGAACUCGGCAAAAUGACCCCGUAACUUCGGGAGAAGGGGUGCUGAUCAUACGAUCAGCCGCAGUGAAUAGGCCCAAGCGACUGUUUAUCAAAAACACAGGUCUCUGCAAAAUCGUAAGAUGAAGUAUAGGGGCUGACGCCUGCCCGGUGCUGGAAGGUUAAGAGGAGUGCUUAGCGCAAGCGAAGGUACGAAUUGAAGCCCCAGUAAACGGCGGCCGUAACUAUAACGGUCCUAAGGUAGCGAAAUUCCUUGUCGGGUAAGUUCCGACCCGCACGAAAGGCGUAACGAUUUGGGCACUGUCUCAACGAGAGACUCGGUGAAAUUUUAGUACCUGUGAAGAUGCAGGUUACCCGCGACAGGACGGAAAGACCCCAUGGAGCUUUACUGUAGUUUGAUAUUGAGUGUCUGUACCGCAUGUACAGGAUAGGUAGGAGCCGUAGAAAUCGGAACGCUAGUUUCGAUGGAGGCGCUGGUGGGAUACUACCCCUGCGUUAUGGCCACUCUAACCCGCACCACUGAUCGUGGUGGGAGACAGUGUCAGAUGGGCAGUUUGACUGGGGCGGUCGCCUCCUAAAAGGUAACGGAGGCGCCCAAAGGUUCCCUCAGAAUGGUUGGAAAUCAUUCGAAGAGUGUAAAGGCAGAAGGGAGCUUGACUGCGAGACCAACAAGUCGAGCAGGGACGAAAGUCGGGCUUAGUGAUCCGGUGGUUCCGCAUGGAAGGGCCAUCGCUCAACGGAUAAAAGCUACCCUGGGGAUAACAGGCUUAUCUCCCCCAAGAGUCCACAUCGACGGGGAGGUUUGGCACCUCGAUGUCGGCUCGUCGCAUCCUGGGGCUGUAGUCGGUCCCAAGGGUUGGGCU
rnacentral:rRNA from 1 species